rnacentral:rRNA from 1 species
AUGGCGCACGUACAGGUACGUGGUCGCGUCGGCCAUCGUGGGACGGCGGGGAGCGUGCUGCAGAUACCCGUCGCCAUGUACCUGCUGUGCAAGAGCAAAAGGGCGAUACCCAGCGCCAUAAUCCUCGACAUCAGCAUGCACGCUGACAUAGCGAUCAGCGUCGUGCUGGCAAGCGGCGUCGGCGCCGGGUUCGGCGCGACCAACGACGUUCUUCGCUACGUCCGGGCGGGUGAAUGGGACGGCAGGCAGGAAGACAAGCGGGCUCUCGUCAACUACUUGAACAGGGCGAUCGUCCCCGUCGUCUUCCUCCUCGUAGGCAUGGUCCUGUCCAUCUGCGCCACCGUCGUCUCCGCCAGGCUCCGCGCCGUGGCGACAAACGAUUCUGAAGGUGGUGUCUGA